rnacentral:rRNA from 1 species
CCUACGGGAGGCAGCAGUGGGGAAUAUUGCACAAUGGGGGAAACCCUGAUGCAGCGACGCCGCGUGCGUGAGGAAGUAUUUCUGUAUGUAAAGCUGUAUCAGCAGGGGAGAAAAUGACGGUACCUGUCUAAGAAGCCCCGUCUAACUACGUUCCAGCAGCCGCGGCAAUACGGAGGGGGCAAGCGUUAUCCGGAUUUACUGGGUGUAAAGGGAGCGUAGACGGUUAAUUAAGUCAGAGGUGAAAACCCAGGGCUCAACUUUGGGACUGCCUCUGAAACUGAGUAGCUAGAGUGCAGUAGCGGUAGGCGGAAUGCCUAGUGUAGCGGUGAAAUGCGUAGAGAUCAGGCAGAACACCAAUGGCGAAGGCAGCUUACCGGACU